UACAGAGGGUGCGAGCGUUGUCCGGAAUCACUGGGCGUAAAGGGCGCGUAGGUGGCGACCCAAGUCCAUGGUGAAAGCUCGAUGCUCAACAUCGAGUCGGCCACGGAUACUGGGUUGCUGGAGCACUGUAGAGGCAGAUGGAAUUCCGGGUGUAGCGGUGGAAUGCGUAGAGAUCCGGAAGAAUACCCGUGGCGAAGGCGGCCGACUGGGCCGGAUCCGACGCUGAUGCGCGAAAGCGUGGGGAGCAAACAGG
rnacentral:rRNA from 1 species